GGCCUUUACUGACGCUAAAGCUCGAAGGUGCGGGUAUCGAACAGGAUUAGAUACCCUGGUAGUCCGCACGGUAAACGAUGGAUGCCCGCUGUUUGCGAUAUACUGUGAGCGGCCAAGAGAAAUCGUUAAGCAUCCCACCUGGGGAGUACGCCGGCAACGGUGAAACUCAAAGGAAUUGACGGGGGCCCGCACAAGCGGAGGAACAUGUGGUUUAAUUCGAUGAUACGCGAGGAACCUUACCCGGGCUUGAACUGCAGGCGAACGAUACAGAGAUGUUGAGGCCCUUCGGGGCGCCUGUGGAGGUGCUGCAUGGUUGUCGUCAGCUCGUGCCGUGAGGUGUCGGCUUAAGUGCCAUAACGAGCGCAACCCUUUUCAUUAGUUGCCAUCAGGUAAUGCUGGGCACUCUGGUGAUACUGCCACCGUAAGGUGUGAGGAAGGUGGGGAUGACGUCAAAUCAGCACGGCCCUUACGUCCGGGGCUACACACGUGUUACAAUGGGUGGUACAGAGAGUCGGAUCAACGCAAGUUGGUUCUAAUCCUUAAAGCCAUCCUCAGUUCGGAUUGGGGUCUGCAACCCGACCCCAUGAAGCUGGAUUCGCUA
rnacentral:rRNA from 1 species